rnacentral:rRNA from 1 species
CGAGGGCGGCGGGUGAGUAAUGUCUGGAAUCUGCCUUGAGGGGGAUAACUCGGAAACGGUAGCUAAUACCGCAUACUUCCAAGACAAAGAGGGGGAUCUUCGGCCUCGCCAUCGAUGGCCCAGAUGGAUUAGCUAGUAGGUGGGUAAGGCUCACCUAGGCGACGAUCCUACUGGUCUGAGAGGAUGACAGCACACUGGAACUGAGACACGGUCCAGACUCCUACGGGAGGCAGCAGUGGGGAAUAUUGACAAUGGGCGCAAGCCUGAUCAGCCAUGCCGCGUGUAUGAAGAAGGUCUUCGGUUGUAAAGACUUUAGGAGGAGGAAGGUCAGGUAAUACCACAUUGACGUUACUCAGAAAAGCACCGGCUAACUCGUGCCAGCAGCCGCGGUAAUACGAGGGUGCAAGCGUUAAUCGGAAUUACUGGGCGUAAAGCGCCGCAGGGGUUUGUUAAGUCAGAUGUGAAAUCCCCGGGCUCAACCUGGGAACUGCAUUAAACUGGCAAGCUGAGUUGUAGAGGGGGUGAAUUCGGUGUAGCGGUGAAAUGCGUAGAAUGAGGAAUACCGUGGCGAAGGCGCCCCCUGGACAACUGACCUAGGUGCGAAAGCGUGGGGAGCAAACAGGAUUAGAUACCCUGGUAGUCCACGCC